CAUAUGUCUGUGUGUGUGUCUGUAUUUAACAUGUGAAUAUAUAUAUAUAAAAACACACACACAUACACACAGGU
rnacentral:miRNA from 1 species